AAGCUCGUAGUUGAAAUUGUGUCCUGCGGUGUCGGUCUACCGAAUGCGGUACGACAGGCACGUCUGCGGGGCUUCUCGCCGGUGCGUCCACCGCCGGCGUGUGUCGGUCUCUGUAACCCAGUAGGCCGCGCACCGAGGCGGGCCGUCGCGGCUGUUUACUUUGAACAAAUUAGAGUGCUCAAAGCGGGCUAACACUUGCCUGAAUAUUGUACGCAUGGAAUAAUAGAAUAGGACCUCGGUUCUGUUUUGUUGGCUUUCUGAUACCAGAGGUAAUGAUUAAUAGGGACAACUGGGGGCAUUCGUAUUGCGACGUUAGAGGUGAAAUUCUUGGAUCGUCGCAAGACGGACUAAAGCGAAAGCAUUUGCCAAAGGUGUUUUCAUUAAUCAAGAACGAAAGUUAGAGGUUCGAAGGCGAUUAGAUACCGCUGUAGUUCUAACCAUAAAUGAUGCCAGCCAGCGAUCCGCCGAAGUUUCAUAAUUUUAACCCGGUGGGCAGCUCCCGGGAAACCAA
rnacentral:rRNA from 1 species